ACACACACACACACACACUGAAAAUCUAAAUAGUAAAAGUGUGUUCUUAACAUGCCAUUACUUCAUCUUCUCCGAUGCUCAGAGUCCUGCUUUUUGGUAGUUUAAAAUCUGUUUGAGAGCGCUACAUGCACCAAGGAAGAAAGAAAACACAUUCUUAACGAUGAACUUCACACUGGAUCUCCAUGAAAGAGAGGCCCUUUUUCUCUCUCAGGUCCCCCAAACAGCCAAAACUUGUUUCCAUUAUUAGGAGAGAAGCUUGGGCCUCCUCUGCUUACCCAGGAUGCUGCCAAAGGUUUACAUGUCUCCGGCUCUCAGGACCUUCCUCACUCUCCACUCGCUCACAUGGUAAAGUGGACCCCAUCCAACCUGGUGGUCCAUGGAUGUACCCUUAUGGAGUGUGGUACACAUGAUUCAGGUUAGAUCAUCAGUUGCUUUCUGAGACAAAUAUGACUUUAAAGGAGGAAUUCUAGGACUGGGGAAAUAGCUCAGAGGUUAACAGAACUUCUUGCUCUUGCAGAGGACCUGGAACUGGGUCUCAGUAUCCACAUGGUGGCUCACAACCAUCCAUAACUCCAAUUCCAGAGGACCUGAUACCUUCUUGUAAUCUCCAUGAGCAAUCAAGCACAUGUGUGGUCCACAUACAUACAAGUAAGCGAAGAGUCAUACAUAUAAAAGAAAAUAAGUCUCUCUUAAA
rnacentral:lncRNA from 1 species